CGGGGUUUCGCCAUGGUCUCGAUCUCCUGACCUCAUGAUCCACACGCCUCGGCCUCCCAAACUGCUGGGAUUACAGGCAUGAGCCACAGCGCCCGGCCUAGCAUUUGGUAAUAUCUUGAUGUUGCUAGUUUUGUUUUAGGAAUGUGUUUCCCUCAUGAAUUCCAGGAGCACAGGUGGUUGGAAGGGCUCUCUUGACAGUGAUUUUAUAGCUCACCAUCAGAUCACAGCAUAAGACUGAAGGCUUGACUCAUCUUUCUUCUCUUGUCCUUAGUUUGUCCAUUUGUAAAAGGAGAGAGAUUUUGCUGGAGGAUAUUUGAGGACUCUUUUAUCUCUAACAUCCCAUGAAUUGCAAACAUUAUUAACUACUGUUACCUUUCAUGACAGCAGUUAAUGAAAAUUUCCUCACCUUGCUGACAUUGGAAACUUUGUCGUGUAAUGCUUUGUCUGAUUCAUGACAAUAGAACAAUUUUGUCAUUAUCUACAAGGAAGGACACUUCUAUUUAGAAUGUUAAGAGAAAACAUAGAUAUUUCUUUCCUUUCAUCCAAAAGUGAAAACCAAACUAUAAACAUAUACAUUAAAGGAAUUGGUGCAGAUAUGGUUUGAAUAUAUGUCCCCACCAAGUCCCAAGUUGAAUUGUAAUCCCCAGUGCUGGAAGUUGGGCCUGGUUGGAGGUAGGGCCUGGUGGGUCAGGAGGGUCAAUCCCUCAUGGUGCUAUCCUCCUGAUAGUGAGUGAGUUCUCACGAGAUCUGAUUGUUUAUGUGUGUGGCACCACCCCCAUCUUGUUCCUGCUCUCACCAUGUGAAG
rnacentral:lncRNA from 1 species